rnacentral:rRNA from 1 species
UACAGAGGCCCCAAGCGUUACUGAGAAUCACUGGGUUUAAAGGGUGCGUAGGUGGCGCGUUAAGUCCGUUGUGAAAGCCCUGGGCUCAACCCAGGAACUGCUUCGGAUACUGGCGCGCUUGAGGCUAGUAGGGGUCACUGGAACUGACGGUGGAGCGGUGAAAUGCGUAGAUAUCAGGAGGAACACCAAUUGCGAAGGCAGCUCGCUGGGACGUUACUGACGCUGAGACGCGAAAGCGUGGGGAGCAAACAGG